rnacentral:rRNA from 1 species
AACGAACGCUGGCGGCAGGCCUAACACAUGCAAGUCGAGCGCACCUUCGGGUGAGCGGCGGACGGGUUAGUAACGCGUGGGAAUAUACCCUUUAGUACGGAAUAGCCUCGGGAAACUGAGAGUAAUACCGUAUACGCCCUUCGGGGGAAAGAUUUAUCGCUAAAGGAUUAGCCCGCGUUGGAUUAGGUAGUUGGUGAGGUAACGGCUCACCAAGCCGACGAUCCAUAGCUGGUUUGAGAGGAUGAUCAGCAACACUGGGACUGAGACACGGCCCAGACUCCUACGGGAGGCAGCAGUGGGGAAUCUUAGACAAUGGGCGAAAGCCUGAUCUAGCCAUGCCGCGUGAGUGACGAAGGCCCUAGGGUCGUAAAGCUCUUUCGCCAGGGAUGAUAAUGACAGUACCUGGUAAAGAAACCCCGGCUAACUCCG